CUCCCUCCCUUACGAGGCAGCGGCAUCGUCCUCCCCCCUUCUCCGCCACCUCCUCCUCCGGCGCGCAGCCCGCGACUCUGGCAUCCCCAACGCACUUUCUCUCCUCGAUCCGCUCGCUCUCUUCCCCCCGCCGCUCCUCCUUCUCCAGUAAAAAAUAAAUGAGAAGGGACGGCGGGUAUGCCUGGUCUUUUUUUCUCUUUCUUUCUUUUUUUUUUUUCUCUCUCUGUCCUCUGGAGUUGGUGAGAGGAUCACAUGAGGAGCAGGCACAGAGAACCAGGACCCUCAGAAGUCGGAGGAGGCAUCGGACACAUAUAUAGGAAGAUAUGGUGUGUGGCACUUCUACAAAUCAACCUGCUAUGUGUUCAGAGCCUGGUCCAAGCCUUGGGUGCCCAGGAAACUCUUGAUCCAUCCUUGUGGACUUGCCAAAUGAGUCACUCUCGCCUGGUACAGAUAAAUAGGGUCUCCCUGUCUUCAUCAUCUCAGAGUCUCAUGUUGCCAUGUCGCAUGCAUGUGGCAAUUGUUGCCGCUUUUGAAGACUCCUGA
rnacentral:lncRNA from 1 species